rnacentral:misc_RNA from 1 species
UUUCCGUUGGUGAACCAGCGGAGGGAUCAUUACAGGACUCGCAAGACUCCUUCACCCUGUGAACCUCACUACAAGCACGUUGCUUCGGCGGGUGUCCCGGCGGGGGUUUUCCCUCGCCGGGGCGCACAGCCCGCCGGCAGCCUACUAUACUCUGUCUCUUUGCGUUGGCAUCUCGAGAAAAAACAAACAAGUUAAAACUUUCAACAACGGAUCUCUUGGUUCUG